rnacentral:rRNA from 1 species
CUCAAAUUUGAAAUCUGGCCCUCGGGUCCGAGUUGUAAUUUGUAGAGGAUGCUUUUGGCGCGGUGCCUUCCGAGUUCCCUGGAACGGGACGCCUUAGAGGGUGAGAGCCCCGUACGGUUGGACACCAAGCCUCUGUAAAGCCCCUUCGACGAGUCGAGUAGUUUGGGAAUGCUGCUCUAAAUGGGAGGUAAAUUUCUUCUAAAGCUAAAUAUUGGCCAGAGACCGAUAGCGCACAAGUAGAGUGAUCGAAAGAUGAAAAGCACUUUGAAAAGAGGGUUAAAUAGCACGUGAAAUUGUUGAAAGGGAAGCGUUUGCGACCAGACCUUUUCUUAGCGGAUCAUCCGGUGUUAUCACCGGUGCACUUCGCCAAGUUGAGGCCAGCAUCGGUUUUCGUAGGGGGAUAAAAGCCUGGGGAAUGUGGCUCUUUCGGGAGUGUUAUAGCCUCUCGCAUAAUACCCUUAUGGGGACCGAGGACCGCGCUUUAUGCAAGGAUGCUGGCGUAAUGGUCGUCAACGACCCGUCUUGAAACACGGACCAAGGAGUCGAACAUUUGUGCGAGUGUUUGGGUGUUAAACCCUCACGCGUAAUGAAAGUGAACGGAGGUGAGAGCCCUUACGGGGGUGCAUCAUCGACCGAUCCUGAUGUCUUCGGAUGGAUUUGAGUAAGAGCAUAACUGUUCGGACCCGAAAGAUGGUGAACUAUGCGUGGAUAGGGUGAAGCCAGAGGAAACUCUGGUGGAGGCUCGCAGCGGUUCUGACGUGCAAAUCGAUCGUCAAAUCUGCGCAUGGGGGCGAAAGACUUAUCGAACCAUCUAGUAGCUGGUUACCGCCGAAGUUUCCCUCAGGAUAGCAGUGUUGUUCUUCAGUUUUAUGAGGUAAAGCGAAUGAUUAGGGACUCGGGGGCGCUUUUUAGCCUUCAUCCAUUCUCAAACUUUAAAUAUGUAAGAAGCCCUUGUUACUUAAUUGAACGUGGGCAUUUGAAUGUACCAACACUAGUGGGCCAUUUUUGGUAAGC